UUGAACGCUGGCGGCAUGCUUUACACAUGCAAGUCGAACGGCAGCGGGGGCUUCGGCCUGCCGGCGAGUGGCGCACGGGUGCGUAACGCGUGGGAAUCUGCCCUUAGGUACGGAAUAACUCAGGGAAACUUGUGCUAAUACCGUAUGAUGUCGAGAGACCAAAGAUUUAUCGCCUAGGGAUGAGCCCGCGUAGGAUUAGCUAGUUGGUGGGGUAAAAGCCUACCAAGGCGACGAUCCUUAGCUGGUCUGAGAGGAUGAUCAGCCACACUGGGACUGAGACACGGCCCAGACUCCUACGGGAGGCAGCAGUGGGGAAUAUUGGACAAUGGGCGAAAGCCUGAUCCAGCAAUGCCGCGUGAGUGAAGAAGGCCUUCGGGUUGGAAAGCUCUUUUACCCGGGAAGAUAAUGACUGUACCGGGAGAAUAAGCCCCGGCUAACUCCGU
rnacentral:rRNA from 1 species